rnacentral:rRNA from 1 species
AUUGAACGCUGGCGGCAUGCCUUACACAUGCAAGUCGAACGGUAACGCGGGGCAACCUGGCGACGAGUGGCGAACGGGUGAGUAAUAUAUCGGAACGUGCCCAGAGGUGGGGAGUAGCCCGGCGAAAGACCGGAUUAAUACCGCAUACGACCUACGGGUGAAAGCGGGGAGUCGCAAGACCUCGCGCCAUUGGAGCGGCCGAUAUCAGAUUAGGUAGUUGGUGGGGUAAAGGCUCACCAAGCCAACGAUCUGUAGCUGGUCUGAGAGGACGACCAGCCACACUGGAACUGAGACACGGUCCAGACUCCUACGGGUGGCUG